AAUGAACGCUGGCGGCGCGCCUAAUACAUGCAAGUCGAGCGAGAAGACGUAGCAAUACGUUUGUAAAGCGGCGAACGGGUGAGGAAUACAUGGGUAACCUACCCUCGAGUGGGGAAUAACUAGCCGAAAGGUUAGCUAAUACCGCGUACGCUCCUUGGACUUCGGUUCAGGGAGGAAAGCGAUACCGUGGGUAUCGCGCUCUUGGUUGGGCUCAUGUCCUAUCAGCUUGUUGGUGAGGUAACGGCUCACCAAGGCUUCGACGGGUAGCUGGUCUGAGAGGACGAUCAGCCACACUGGCACUGCGACACGGGCCAGACUCCUACGGGAGGCAGCAGUAAGGAAUAUUGCGCAAUGGGCGAAAGCCUGACGCAGCGACGCCGCGUGGGGGAUGGAAGGUCUUCGGAUUGUAAACCCCUUUCGGGAGGGAAGAUGGAACGAGCAAUCGUUCGGACGGUACCUCCAGAAG
rnacentral:rRNA from 1 species